AUACGGAGGGUGCAAGCGUUAUCCGGAUUCACUGGGUUUAAAGGGUGCGUAGGUGGGCAGUUAAGUCAGUGGUGAAAUCUCCGGGCUUAACCCGGAAACUGCCAUUGAUACUAUCUGUCUUGAAUACUCUGGAGGUAAGCGGAAUAUGUCAUGUAGCGGUGAAAUGCUUAGAUAUGACAUAGAACACCGAUUGCGAAGGCAGCUUACUACGGAGUCAUUGACACUGAGGCACGAAAGCGUGGGGAUCAAACAGGAUUAGAUACCCUGGUAGUCCACGCCCUAAACGAUGGAUACUCGACAUUUGCGAUACACAGUAAGUGUCUGAGCGAAAGCAUUAAGUAUCCCACCUGGGAAGUACGACCGCAAGGUUGAA
rnacentral:rRNA from 1 species